rnacentral:tRNA from 1 species
GCCCCCAUAGCUCAGUUGGUAGGGCACUCGCCUAAAUAGCAAAAGGCUCUCAGUUCAAGCCUGGGUGGAGGCA